AUUGAUUGGUCUCAGGAGUGUGAUCGCACCUGGGGUGUUAUGCGCUACUACUUCUGCCUUGCACAUGUUGUUGAAGUUGGCAAGCUCAGCUAACCGUUAGCAGAAGUCGUCGUUAGUACUUGGCAACAUGGCGUUGUUAUUACAAGCCAUUUCAAAUCAAUUGCGAUCUUUAGCAGACGAUUUAGAGAACCACGUUGAUGAGGACGUCCUUCAGCUUCGGCUGGAUAAAGUGACCGAUGACUCGCUCAGCUCAAGGCCAACAUGGAUGUGGAAGUUGACCAAACAGUGUUCGGCACUCUGGAAGAAGCUGCCCGCCUACUUGACAUUGCUCUCGGAACCAGAGGAGGUGACGUCCAUCGUACAUUUGAUCUCCAAAUAUUAUCGAAGCACAUCUACUUUGGGGACAUGCCGCUGGGGACAUAGCGCAGGUGUUCGGCGUGUCCGAGAGAACGAUUUGGCGGAGGAUGGUGCGGUACGGAAGAAGAGUCCACGAUCUACUAACGGCAACAUCCCAACACUGGAUACAAGAUGGUGGUUGGGCAUUUGACUGCACAAGGCAUACGUAUACAAAGACAGCGUGUCCAGGAAUCCAUGCGGCGUGUGGACCCUUCAGCUGAACCCAAGAAGACGCCGGAGGUACUCAUAAACCAAACAGUUUAUGGCACAUUGACGGAAAUCAUAAAUUGACAAGAUGGCCGUAUUGUUGUGCACGGUGGUAUUGACGGCUUUAAUCGUUUAAUCGUGUUCUUGAGUGCCGCCACCAACAACAACCGAGCAGCAACAGUGUUGAGAAGUUUUAUUGAAGCUGUGGGUGUCUACGGCGUGCCGUAGAUAAAAAAACAAAAUGUGUGUGAGGUCAGAUAAAGGCGAGGGAAACAUCGCACGCUACAUGGUGGAGAACAGAGGACUGGACAGAAAUUCACACAUUGCUGGCAGGAGCGUCCAUAAUCAAAAGGUUGACAUGGAGUUUGGAGCUGACAUGGACCGUGUGGUCAUCGUCGGCCUGGUGUUGUGGUCCCUGAAGUUCAGCUGCACUAACUGAGCAGGAAGUUGAACAUCUACCAGACCCUGAUGGCCCCCUGUCCAAUGUGUUGGAUGUCUUU